GACGAACGCUGGCGGCGUGCCUAAUACAUGCAAGUCGAGCGAGCGGAACUAACAGAUUUACUUCGGUAAUGACGUUAGGAAAGCGAGCGGCGGAUGGGUGAGUAACACGUGGGGAACCUGCCCCAUAGUCUGGGAUACCACUUGGAAACAGGUGCUAAUACCGGAUAAGAAAGCAGAUCGCAUGAUCAGCUUUUAAAAGGCGGCGUAAGCUGUCGCUCUGGGAUGGCCCCGCGGUGCAUUAGCUAGUUGGUAAGGUAAAGGCUUACCAAGGUGAUGAUGCAUAGCCGAGUUGAGAGCCUCGUCGGCCAGAUUGGGACUGAGACACGGCCCAAACUCCUACGGGAGGCAGCAGUAGGGAAUCUUCCACAAUGGACGCAAGUCUGAUGGAGCAACGCCGCGUGAGUGAAGAAGGUUUUCGGAUCGUAAAGCUCUGUUGUUGGUGAAGAAGGAUAGAGGUAGUAACUGGCCUUUAUUUGACGGUAAUCAACCAGAAAGACACGGCUAACUACGUG
rnacentral:rRNA from 1 species